GGUACUGUACCAGACAUUAAAGAUACAAGAUGAAAAAGAUAUUCUCAUGGAUUAAUUGAUGAUAUAAUUUAAAAUAGAAAACUGAAAGAAUAGGUCGUCUUAUGUGUUAUGAGGACAGCAAUGGCCGCCCUCUGCGGGUGCUUGUGCACUGCAGUGCACCCUCCACAGGAUUUCACAGAGAGUCUGGGAUGCUUACUGCACUUGCAGGGACCCUUGAAGGGCUCUUCAGGUCUACAGGUGUGAUGUGAGCCAUAAUUUGAGAAAUAGUGGUCAGAACCAAAUUUUUUUUAUGACCUGGAAUAAGGCUAUUUGUAUCCUUUUAAAAUAAUCCUCUGUAUCUGUUAUAGGAUUUCUCCCAUCUUACUCCAGGAGAAAUGGAAGCUUCAGAGUACCAUCACCAUGCUCAUUCUCAAAACGUCCUUGGUAUGCCUUGGGACUCAAUCAAAGGUCCCUACUACAUCCUGCUUCUCUUCCAAGUAUCUUGCCUGUUUUCCCUGGUGUGCCUCAGGCACACCCCAGGGCCUGCUUAGAAGAGACAGAUUUCUUCCUUCUAUGUUAGAGCCCCUCAAGGAGCAACAGAGUGCCAGUCAGGAGGCUCCUCCUCCCCUGACUCGUGACAAUCAGGAGUCCUUGGCUUGGGAAAUCCUCUCAACGCAGCAGGCACAGAAGUGCAAUCUUGACUGGAAUCCUUACACUCACCCCUCGCAAGUCAAAUCCUUCCCAUAUGUCAAGGCUUAACCUCUGGUCCUCCUCAUCUGAGAAGCCUUCCCAACUACUCUAAUCUGUGCUAACUUCCCCUUUUUUGGGGGAAUCUUAAUCUUAACAGCAGAGGUAUAUGAGGAGAGGGUGCCUCAGGGCCUCUGUUCCUGUGAGGAGGAAUAUUUUAUCACAGAUGUUAAGAGUUGUAAACUAGUGAUUAGAAAAAGCAGACCUCCCUUGAGUCAUUCUGUUUUUUCUAAAUCCUCAGUGCACACUGCACCCCCUUAUUGUGUGCACUGGGAGGGAUGGGUGUUCCAGUGCACCCACCUGCUUGGCACACCAUGGCUUAACAGUGACUCACAGCUUGCCAUGUGGUUUCUGCACCUGUUUCAUGUGCCUUAGUUUUCUUCCCCAAGCGAGGGAUAAGUCACUGAUGGCUGCGAUGAGUCUUAGAAUUUUUAGCCACUCCUUCUGAGCCCUGCCCAAUCCUGGGCUCACCAUCGAUGUGUAACAGAAUUGCUUGAUUUCGUGGGUUAAUAUUUAGAGUGGUCCUCCCUUCCCAGCAAUUCUACAGCAGUGCUUUUCCCUUGAAAUAAUCCCUCCAGAUCAGCUUUGAGGAGAUGAGGGAUUGGAGUGUGUGCGUGUGCGUGUGUGUGUGUGUGCGCGCGUGUGUGUGCGUGUGUGUAGUGAAGGAAGAGGGGUCAUGUGCAGGAGUGACGCCUGUACAC
rnacentral:lncRNA from 1 species